rnacentral:rRNA from 1 species
AUUGAACGCUGGCGGCAGGCUUAACACAUGCAAGUCGAGCGGAGAUGAGGUGCUUGCACUUUAUCUUAGCGGCGGACGGGUGAGUAAUGCUUAGGAAUCUGCCUAUUAGUGGGGGACAACAUUCCGAAAGGAAUGCUAAUACCGCAUACGCCCUACGGGGGAAAGCAGGGGAUCUUCGGACCUUGCGCUAAUAGAUGAGCCUAAGUCGGAUUAGCUAGUUGGUGGGGUAAAGGCCUACCAAGGCGACGAUCGGUAGCGGGUCUGAGAGGAUGAUCCGCCACACUGGGACUGAGACACGGCCCAGACUCCUACGGGAGGCAGCAGUGGGGAAUAUUGGACAAUGGGCGGAAGCCUGAUCCAGCCAUGCCGCGUGUGUGAAGAAGGCCUUUUGGUUGUAAAGCACUUUAAGCGAGGAGGAGGCUACCUGGAUUAAUACUCUAGGAUAGUGGACGUUACUCGCAGAAUAAGCACCGGCUAACUCUGUGCCAGCCGCCGCGGUAACAC